UACGGAGGAUCCAAGCGUUAUCCGGAAUCAUUGGGUUUAAAGGGUCCGUAGGCGGCCCGAUAAGUCAGUGGUGAAAUCUCCCGGCUCAACCGGGAAAUGGCCAUUGAUACUGUCGGGCUUGAAUUAUUAGGAAGUAACUAGAAUAUGUAGUGUAGCGGUGAAAUGCUUAGAUAUUACAUGGAAUACCGAUUGCGAAGGCAGGUUACUACUAAUGGAUUGACGCUGAUGGGCGAAAGCGUGGGUAGCGAACAGG
rnacentral:rRNA from 1 species